GACGAACGCUGGCGGCGUGCUUAACACAUGCAAGUCGAACGGAAAGGCCCUGCUUUUGUGGGGUGCUCGAGUGGCGAACGGGUGAGUAACACAUGAGUAACCUGCCCUUGACUUUGGGAUAACUUCAGGAAACUGGGGCUACUACCGGAUAGGAGCUCCUGCUGCAAGGUGGGGGUUGGAAAGUGUCGGCGGGUGGGGAUGGACUCGCGGCUUAUCAGCUUGUUGGUGGGGUAGUGGCUUACCAAGGCUUUGCCGGGUAGCCGGCCUGAGAGGUUGACCGGCCACAUUGGGACUGAGAUACGGCCCAGACUCCUUCGUGAGGCCGCAGUGGGGAAUAUUGCACAAUGGGCGGCAGCCUGAUGCAGCAACGCCGCGUGCGGGAUGACGGCCUUCUGGUUGUAAACCGCUUUCGCCUGUGACGAAGCGUGAGUGACGGUAAUGGGUAAAGAAGCACCGGCUAACUACGUG
rnacentral:rRNA from 1 species